rnacentral:rRNA from 1 species
AUACGGAGGGUGCAAGCGUUAAUCGGAAUUACUGGGCGUAAAGCGCGCGUAGGCGGUUUUGUAAGUCGGAUGUGAAAGCCCAGGGCUCAACCUUGGAAUUGCAUUCGAAACUGCAUGACUAGAGUAUGGUAGAGGGAAGUGGAAUUCCAGGUGUAGCGGUGAAAUGCGUAGAUAUCUGGAGGAACAUCAGUGGCGAAGGCGACUUCCUGGACCAAUACUGACGCUGAGGUGCGAAAGCGUGGGGAGCAAACAGGAUUAGAAACCCUGGUAGUCC